rnacentral:sRNA from 1 species
UCAUUAUGAAUAUUGGGCCAGCAUAAUC